AAUGCCGCACAGCUGAAGGUGGGAAGUGGAACCAGUCUCCCGGGAUGUGGCUGGAAAGGUUUGAAUGGAAGAAAAUCUCUUCGAACCCCUGAUGCCCUGCUCUACUAAAGAAGGUGAUGGAAGCUCAUUCAUUUAAGGUUUCUUCAGGAUUCAAAUAUAUCCUCUGGUUGGAAAAUGAGAACUUAUUCUGGUCUAUAUUUGCUGGUGAUCUUCUGCUCAGAUGUCAGAUGUUUGCAAAGCCAAUGUUAGCUUUUGGUGAUUUCCCCUAUGCUGUGGGACUGAGUCUGGUCUCCUGUUGUGUUUUCUUCAGUGAUCUGGGUAAGGUUACUGUGUGAAAAGCCUAAGUACGGUCGGGUGCAAACUUGGACAACAAGGUAUGUUAAAUCUAAUCCUAUUCAGAAUGUUUUUCAUGGGUUAUCUAAAUAAAAAAAACAUUCUGCUUCUGCCAGUUGGAAGCAGCAAAUAAAGGCAGUAAUACUAAACAGUAGAGACCAGGGAAAUUAUAUCACCU